AGUACGUGAAACUGCUUAGAGUUUAAGCCUGAUGAACCUAAAUAUCCAUUAAUGGAAAAUUCAUCACCAAUAUUAUAAUAUUUUAAAUAUAAUAUAAGAAUGGUGUGCAUUUUUUCCAUAAAGGACAUUGUAAUCGGUUAAUAAAUUUAAAACUUUAUGAAAAGGUUCAUUAUUAAAGAGUUUAUUUUAAUUAGAUUUUAUUUUAUAUAAAAUUUAAAAUUGAAUAAAUUUUAUGAAUUUAAUAAAGUGUUGACCGAUUUAAUUAUAAUAAUGUAAUAAAAAUUUUCUUCGGAAAUUUUUUUACAAUAAUUUUUUUAUUGUAUACAUUUUUAUGAUUUACAAUGUUAUAAAUUUAGGAUACCUUCGGGACCCGUCUUGAAACACGGACCAAGGAGUCUAACAUAUGUGCAAGUCGUUGAGUAUAUUAUAUAAAACUUGAAGGCAUAAUUAACUUAACUGUUUUUUAUAAUAAUGGGAUUAGUUUAUACAUAUAAUUUUUUUUAUUUUUUUAAUAAAAAAGAAAAUAUUAUAAAUUCAAUCCCAGGGCGUUCUAUAUAGUUAUGCAUAAUAAUAUUUUAUAUUAUUUAUGUCUCUAACUG
rnacentral:rRNA from 1 species